rnacentral:rRNA from 1 species
AUGUGUAUGGCAAAGCGGGAUGGGGGCCUCGGGUUCAGAGAUCCGGAGGCUUUUAAUCAAGCCUUGCUAGCUAAACAAGCAUGGAGGCUCUUGCAGGUUCCGACUUCUUUAUGUGCGAGGGUGCUCAAAGCUCGAUAUUAUAAAGAUUCAAGCAUCAUGGUUGCGUCGUGUCCGUCCGGGGCUUCCUACACAUUUAGGAGCAUACUACAUGGC